rnacentral:rRNA from 1 species
UACAGAGGGUGCAAGCGUUAAUCGGAAUUACUGGGCGUAAAGCGUGCGUAGACGGUUAUGUAAGUCAGGUGUGAAAGCCCCGGGCUCAACCUGGGAAUUGGCAUUUGAGACUGCAUAGCUAGGGUGCGGAAGAGGGAAGCGGAAUUUCCGGUGUGAGCGGUGAAAUGCGUAGAUAUCGGAAGGAACAUCAGUGGCGAAAGCGGCUUCCUGGUCCAGCACCGACGUCAGGCACGAAAGCGUGGGGAGCAAAC